AUCGCGAAAUGUAUCACGUGACUUAUUCUCCAGCCAAUUAGCUUCUUUUAAAUAGUAUCUUGUAUACUAUUUGAAAGGUAACAUUGUUGUGUGUGAUGUAAUUAAACAAUAUUUGAUAAUAAUAGCGUUAAGCAAGAAUCUUUCAAAGAAAAUAUGGACUUGGAUAUUUUUUAUAUUGAACCUUUACUUGAUGAUUGGCUAGAAGAACUUCAAUUAAUCAUUAAAGCACAAGAAAGUUGAUCAAAGCUGAAGACGAAUUUUACAUGCCAUUUGUAGCUAUACCAAUUUCAAUCAUCAAUGCAAUAUUUAAA